CUUGCACGGCGCGCACCCCUGGGCGCAGCGGGCGAAUGGUCUGGCCCGUUGGUAGCCGACACCCCUUGGGCACGACAGCUGCUCCAGCUGCUCCUGGUCGGGUUGAGCUUCUGAGCUCUGAGCCGUGGCUGCCCCGGGCGGUGGGCGAGCUGAGGGGAUCUCAGGGCCACCCGCAAGGGGCCGACGGGGAGCUGCCAGCCGUGGGUAGGGAGUGUGGGCCACCAAGGGACCGGUCACUGGAGCCACCCGGCGAGGUGCCGAAGCUGUUUUAAAGUGAUUGGUAGAGAUUUGAGAAGAAGAGCUGGGAGGAGUUCUCGGGCAUUGAUGUUUGGACUGUUCUGAUUUCUGGUAGCUUCCUAGCCCAAAACUUGUGCCGUGAAAUCUGAGACUUUGACCCAGAUAAUAUGAUAUGAACUUCCUGUGAGUUGGGGCCAUAUCCUACUUAGAUGAACGUGGGAUUUUCAGAUUUACUGAGAACUUGGUACUGUACACACGUUUCUUGCUCAUUUGGCAAAGGUGACCAUGCCAUCUCUGCCUCAAGAAGGGGUUAUUCAGGGAUCCUCUGCCCUGGAGCUGAAUACAGAGUUACCUUAUCAAUGCACAAUGAAAAGGAAAGUCAGAAAAAAGAAAAAGAAGGGAGUCAUUACAGCAAAUGUUGCUGGGACAAAGUUUGAAAUUGUUCGUUUAGUGAUAGAUGAAAUGGGAUUUAUAAAAACUCCAGAUGAAGAUGAAACAAGUAAUCUUAUAUGGUGUGAUGCUGCCGUUCAGCAGGAGAAGAUCACAGAGCUACAGAACUACCAGAGGAUCAACCAUUUUCCAGGAAUGGGGGAGAUCUGUAGGAAGGAUUUCUUAGCAAGAAAUAUGACCAAAAUGAUCAAGUCUCGCCCCCUGGAUUAUACUUUUGUUCCUCGAACGUGGAUUUUCCCUUCUGAAUAUACUCAAUUCCAAAACUAUGUGAAAGAAUUGAAGAAAAAAAGGAAGCAGAAAACUUUUAUAAUAAAACCAGCUAAUGGUGCAAUGGGUCAUGGGAUUUCAUUGAUAAGAAAUGGGGAUAAAAUUCCAUCUCAGGAUCAUUUGAUAGUUCAAGAAUACAUUGAAAAGCCUUUCCUAAUGGAAGGCUACAAGUUUGAUUUACGGAUUUAUAUUUUGGUUACAUCCUGUGAUCCAUUAAAGAUAUUUCUCUACCAUGAUGGGCUUGUGCGAAUGGGGACAGAGAAGUACAUCCCACCAAAUGAGUCCAACUUGACCCAGUUAUACAUGCAUCUGACCAACUACUCUGUGAACAAACAUAAUGAGCGGUUCGAACGCAAUGAAACCGAAGACAAAGGCAGCAAACGUUCAAUCAAGUGGUUUACAGAAUUCCUACAGGCCAAUCAACAUGAUGUUUCUAAAUUCUGGAAUGAUAUUUCAGAAUUGGUGGUAAAGACGUUGAUUGUAGCGGAACCUCAUGUUCUGCAUGCAUAUCGGAUGUGCAGACCUGGUCAGCCGCCAGGAAGCCAAAGCGUCUGCUUCGAAGUCCUGGGGUUCGACAUCUUGUUGGAUAGAAAGCUAAAGCCGUGGCUUCUGGAGAUUAAUCGAGCCCCAAGCUUUGGAACUGAUCAGAAAAUAGAUUAUGAUGUGAAAAGGGGAGUUCUGCUAAAUGCGCUGAAGCUACUGAACAUCAGGACCAGUGAUAAAAGGAAAAAUUUGGCCAAACAAAAAGCUGAGGCUCAAAGGAGGCUGUAUGGUCAAAAUCCAAUAAAGAAGAUUUCACCAGGCUCCUCCGACUGGGAACAGCAGAGGCACCAGCUCGAGAGGCGGAAAGAAGAGUUGAAAGAGAGACUCGUUCAAGUACGAAAGCAGGUUUCGCGAGAAGAACACGAAAACCGACACAUGGGGAAUUACAGGAGAAUUUAUCCUCCUGAAGAUAAAACACUGCUCGAAAAGUAUGAAAGUUUGCUGGCUGUUGCAUUCCAGACAUUCCUUUCAGGAAGAGCAGCUUCGUUCCAGCGAGAACUGAACAAUCCUCUGAAAAAGAUGAAGGAGGAAGAUAUUUUGGAUCUCUUGGAACAAUGUGAAAUAGACGAUGAAAAGUUGAUGGGAAAAACUACCAGAAUUCGAGGACCAAAGCCCCUGUGCUGCAUGCCUGAGUAUGCGGAGGUAAUGAAGAAGCAGAAGUGUUACAACAGCAGCGAAAGCAGCUAUGACAGCAGCAGCAGCAGCAGCAAUUCCGAAGUGGAUGAGAAUGAAAAAGAACUGUGUCAGAAGAGACGAGAACAAGCCCCGUAUACCCUUAAACACACCAGUCACUGCAAACUAAUUCAACAAUCCAAUUCCAUGAGGCGUUCGGUCAGCUGCCCUCGGUCCAUCUCUGCUCACUUACCUUCCAGUGGGGAUGCACGCCCCUUUUCUUCUCAACAAGUGAUACCAUUAGCGCGACCAACUUCAGCAUCUCGGUCACAUUCCUUAAACCGUGCUUCCCCCUACAUGAGACACCUGCCUAACAGUAACGAUGCCAGCUCUACCAACUCUGUGGUGAAUGAGUCUUUGCGGCAAUUGAAAACAAAAGAACAGGAAGAUGACCUCACAAGUCAGACCUUGUUUGUUCUCAAGGACAUGAGGAUCCGCUUUCCAGGGAAGUCAGACGCAGAGUCAGAGCUUCUGAUAGAAGAUAUCAUGGAUAACUGGAAGCAUUAUAAAACAAAAGUGGCUUCAUAUUGGCUCAUAAAAUUGGACUCCACAAAACAACGGAAAGUUUUAGACAUAGUAAAAUCAAGUGUCCGUACAGUUCUUCCAAGGAUCUGGAGGGUGCCUGAUGCUGAAGAAGUGAGUUUAUACCGGAUUUUCAACCGGGUGUUUAAUCGCUUACUCUGGAGUCAUGGCCAAGGUCUAUGGAGUUGUUUCUGUGAUUCAGGAACUUCUUGGGAGAGCAUCUUCAGUAAGAGCCCAGAGGUGGUGACUCCUCUGCAGCUGCAGUGUUGCCAGCGCCUGGUGGAGCUCUGCAAGCAGUGCCUGCUGGUGGUUUACAGGUACACCACUGAAACAAGAGGGCCGAUCACAGGCAUUGGUCCCGACUGGGGCAACUCCAGGCAUCUGGUGAGCUCACUGAGUUUAAACCACAUGGCCAGGAUGCUGACCAGGAACUGCAUGAAGGGAUAAAGUACAUCCCGUCAGGAGCAGAUGGAAGAUGUUAGAGGACAUCACAUCAAAGGACACCUGCACUGAGAAGAGAGUAAGCAGCAGAGGGGCAUCCUUCUCCCUGUGCCAAUGAACUACUCCGCAGGUCUGCAUCUCCUUGCUGAUCACAAAAGGAAGGUAAGAGUUUGGAAUUCUUUGAAGAACCCUAGGCUGCCUUCUGCCAACAGAAGUCUUCAUUUGUUUCCUGAUGACAUCAGUAGAAACAUGUCUAGUGUUUAAACUUGCUUUUAAUGUCAAUUGGCCACAAAUUAGAGUCACCUGAAUAGGGAUUGCCACUCCAAAAACUGUCUUAAUUACCUUAGCUGAUGUGGGAAGAUUGACCCCAAAUGUGAACAGUAUGUCCUGGUAGCAGCCCCGAUGAAAAAGUUUGCCUUUUGCUGGCUUGGCCUUCCCUCUCAUCACCAAGCUGCUCUAUCCUCCUGCUUGCUGGGUCUGAUUCCUUUGCUAAUAUCAGAACAAGAAUUCCUAGGCUUCCACUGUUGACUGAGGAGCAACAGCUUUCCAGGAACCUUCCGUGUUUCAGGGACCAUGUUGGGACUGCUGAGGCACCCAGCCUCAAGGACUGAGCAACUACUGGUUUAGCAACAACUCAGCCUCUCAGCUGUUGUUACUGAAAAAUGAAAGUCAGAGCCUUGUAUCUCAUUGCCUGGGUGAACCUUAGGGUCCUGCCUGCCUUCCAACUCAGCUCCUCUUCCUUUUCCUUCGCCACUGUACUUCAACUGCACGGACCUCUGAUGCUUCCCAUCUUGCAGAACUCAAGGGCAUUUUUUCACAGCAACAGAAAAACAAUUAGAACAGCUUGCAUGCUAGUUCUGUUCUCUGCUCAUAUACAGACCAGGAUCUUCUACCUAGAGGAUGGUUUUACCCACAGUGGCAUGGACAUUUCAUUUGCUUACCACUGUUUGAUGCCUGUCAUCAAAACUGCUUGCCAGAAGCAAAUGGAAGAAGUGAAAUCUACAGAGGAGUAAGGAUUGGAGAAGGCACGCAGUGAAGGCAUGCAGCUGUGAACAACAUCUGACUUCCAAGCUCAAGAGGUCAACAGUACAGGCUCUCAAGCAGUGCAGACUCCACUCUUGCUGUGAAUUUCUCCAUCUCUACAUGCUGGAUUGUAGACGAAUUUCUAAGCGGUCUUAUUAAAUAAAAAACACGGAGCCAGAAAUAGGGGUGAAAAUCUGACAGAGAUCAGAAGAAUUGGAACAGCCACCAGCUAACCUUACCUCACCUCGCUGCAGCUUCCAAAGACAAAGAAAGAAACCACGUCACAAGUCUGAGAUUCAGCACACUGGCACUUUAGAGGAGCAGGACUUAUGUGCCAGUGUUGUCUACUAACUGUUCCCCAACGGACCGUCUAUGAAGGCCCGGGAGGCCUAGGGAGAUUAUUUUUGUUGCUCUACAGGUCAAAUGAAGAGUAAAUCAAUGUGGCUCCCUACAGUUUCCACUUAAUGGUGGAGACACUGGAUGAUAUAGGAAUAAGUGAGAUUGCAAGCUCUGGAGUUGAAUUAUCUGGGCUUGAAUCCUCUCUGUGCAAAGUGGGGCAUGCCACUUCCUUUGUGUUUAGUCUUUCUCAUGUGUCACGAGGACAGGAUGACAUCACAUGGGUUAUUAUGAAGAUUAAAUGAGGAAUUGUGUACAAGAGGAUUAACAGAGUGCCUGUUCCACAGUAAGUGCUGCAGAAGAGAAAGCUAAAUCGGACUAAUAGCAGCUCCUUCUAAUGAUUACAGCUGCGCCAUAGUUAUUCAUCUUCCUAUUCUUCAGAGCAGGUUAUCAUGACAUUUUUCCAUUAUAAAUAAAACAGUGUUAAAUAGAAUUGACCAGCUUUUUUUUUUGAAGCAGUCUUGAUACAUAGACAUGAAAUAGCUCAAAGAUGCUCUUGAAAUGGGUAAAACCAUGCUUUCAAGAGUUUUGAGAUUCAACUUCACACAAUCUAUGCUUCAGCUAUGUACAGCUUCAAGCAUACACAUGUUAUGUGUCUCUCUGUGAACUUUCGAGUAACAGUGAGCAUGUCGUCUGGGUAUCGUCCUUCUCUGGGGACUUGGAGGCCUAGAGCACUGGUUUUCAGGUGACUUUUGUUUAGAACUGAAUGUCAGGGCUGUGCAUCCACAUAUCUGAGGCUUAGCACCCCAAGCUGAAACUCUGCUGUCACUUACAAGCUGUGUGACCUUCAACUAGCCUGGGACUCAUUUUCCUCAACUGCAUAUUGCAGGGUGGAAAUUCUCACCUGUAUUUGGGGUAUAAGUUGUAUUCAAUGGAAAUCGCUCUUGUCCAAGUACAAAAACGCAAGAAUACAAUGCUAGCUAGUCCUAGGACUGUGAGCCUCCUUCUCUCCUUGUAAAUGAAGGUCGUUGCAGCUUUAUGAUUGCAUGGCUCCAUGGGUGUCAAGUAUCUCCAGCUCCUGGCAGGUGGCACAGAAUGCACAAUUGGUGGAUGUCCCCUAAGGAGAGGCAUUUGACAGAAGUGCCUCACGAGUCCUGUUUCAAGCAAGAACCAUCAUCAUCUCUAGUGUCCACACUAUCCUGGGAGAGUCCCUGGGGUUUCUACUGGGACAGUGAAAGCCCAAGUGAAGGGUUUCCCUUGUCUGAAUGUUUGCUAGACUGUUUCUUGGCAUUUUCCGGCUUCCAUUCUUUCUUCAGUCCUGGUAUUUUUUUUUCAUCCAAAAAGACGCAUGUAUCAUCCAGGUAUCAACUUAGGGCUGGAGUCUAAAGUCUUCUCUUACCUGAAGUUCAUGGUGCACUUGCCAUGUAGCAGAGUCUGCAGACAGCUUAGUGGGUGUUUUUAUAGUCAGUGUUAAAGAAAAACAAAAACAACACCACCAAACAUAACAAAAAAAGAAAGAAAGAAAAGGAAAAGAAGAAAAAUUUCCACACAACUGAUAGUUUUCCUUAUUGCUUUGACUGUUGGCAAAGACAAGCGCCUAGGGAGAUUGACUGCCUUGAAAGUUUCAUUAUUCUGCAAGAAUAUUUUUGAUGUGAUUUCAACAGCUCCUGACUGACUGUCAGCCUCACCGUGUGGCUUUUAAAAGUCCUUCCUCACCCCUCCAAUCACUGAUCCUAAAACUUACAAGAGCAUUCAGGUCAGUUGUUGAGUACCCGAGUCUUUCCAAGUAAUUAGCAGGUAGAAAUACCAGGUAGCAGGCGGUGUUUGCUUGUAAUCUGUCAAUAGGAGCUGCAAUGGGGGAAAUUGUCGUUUCGAGUGGCCUUGCAACCACAUCUAAUUUAGAGUGUCAAUAGAGUUUGUUUCUGUCUUUUGCUCCCACUGCCAGACUGUGAAUUUUCCCUUUAGAAAUCUUGUCUCAAAGUAAGAUAGGUAUUCAAAAGGGAUGAACUUCAAGGGAAACUAUUCCUCAGCCACUACAAGCUACGUAGGAACACUUAGGCCUCCUUUCUUUAUCCCGUACUGUGGCUGCAUUCUUUAUAACAGUGGUAUAGUCAAGACAUUUGUCUAAGUCCAAGAUUAGGCAGCCCUGCCCAAAGCAGUGAAGGGACACUGUGCCAGCUGAACCAGAGGUGAGGCUAGGGAGAGCAACAGGAAAGUCUGUUGCCUGGUGUUGGGUUCCAGAAGGCUGCAUACUAAUUCACAGAUGGCGUGGGGAGAUGCCUUCCCCUGCCAUUUGAAUCAUUUAGGUUAACUCCCAUGCUUCCUAAGGAUAAAAGGCAAUCUAAGAAGACACUGGUGUCAGAUGGUGCCCAACCAUUUCUUCAGGUACUUCAACUGAUGCAAUUGAAUAAAGGUUGUGGAUAAGAAGCAGAUAUAAGGUUAACCAGGACUUGUAUUCCUAAAGAUUUAAAUCAAGUUGAAUCCUAAAGGGGGUGUGGAUUCAACAGCUGGUACCCAGCAUUAGUUCUGAAUGUCUAUCUUAUCAAGAUAAACACAUUUUUCUUUCCAGGCAAAAGAAGCCUUAGGGUGGGCAGUAGGACUGGGUACAUUAAUAACCAAUGCAAAACUGGUAGCACAUUUUAAUUCUAAUAUGAAUCAGCUUUUUCUUGCUGAGUACACCAAAGAAUGAGCAGAGAAGGCUGUUUUUAACAUUGCACUAUACUGCCAUUCAAUAUCAGUUUGGCUUUAUAAGGUCAUCCCAUAAAAGGAGAAUCACAUUUGAGAAAGAAAACCCACUAGAACAUUCCCUCUAUGACAUUCAGAUUCUAAGACACAUGUUCUUCAGCUCUAUUCCUUGUACUAGACAGCCAUUUGUAAAUAUAUAGGUGAUCCUUACAACUUCGGACCCAAAGAAUAGUCCCUGUGCUGUAAACCCAUCCAUGAUAUAACGGAACCCCAUUUCAUCAGUUCCCACUCUGAUGGGGAUUUUUGACAAAUUCUGUGGCAACCUGACAUAUGUGUCAUAAUGUCUAAUCCCUUUAAGCUCCCCAAAGCUCCCAGGAAGUGGAUGAUUUCAAAGAACAGACUAGAAAAAAAUGGUUCUCGUAUUGAACCUAUUUCUUCCAUGUCUAGGAAGAUCCUCAAUCUCUCCCUUCUGCACCAGAAAAGGAUGGGCAAGGUGUAAAUCUGGGCAUUGAAACAGUAAUAGGAAAGCUGGCGCUAGCAGGCAUUUCCUUGCAGCUGAAACAGUAAAGGUGGAAAGAGGUGAACUUACAGGAGCUUGCAUCUCCCCACCUGAAACCUGAAGCCCUGCCCACCAACUUUUUCAGAACACUGUGCCAGCUGCACUGUUCUGUGGUAACAGGCAUGUAUGUCUGAGUUCAAGUACAUUAGGAAUCAGAGUCUGGGAAGGAGAGAGAGGAAAGUGGGGAGCUUCUAAUAACAGAAAUAAGUGCUGCCCCUCCUUAACCUGCUCUGUGCUUUUGAGCUCAGGCCUGCAUUUCUUAACUGCACAAAUCCACACUUGGUGUGCGGCAUGGAGCCAGGCUCAGUGGAGGCCGGGAGGUGCUUUCAUGGAGCUCUGACACCCUUGGAAUUGUGCACAGUUGUGAGGUUUGCUUCUCAGACAUUUGGACAGCUGCCAUGAGGAAGGGAGGGAGGAAAUUGGGCCAGUUUGCAUUCUGUUACAGACCAGCCUUUUGGAUGACAGAAUUCUUUCCAAUCAAAAUGCCAUGGAUUACUCCCUGCUGUGAGCUAAUAGGGUGCUAAUUAGCAUAUUUCAUUUAUUUACUUAACUGGGGUAGAAACCAUUGGGCACGUGGCCCACUUAGAAUGGUUUCCUGGGGGAAGUCAUGAGAUGCUCUAAGCACUGCUUUCCUAUACAUUGUGGAAACCAGUUCACAGCAGCACAAUGUCCCCUCAUUUCUCUUCUCUCUUUCACACCUCUCUUUUCUACACACACACACACACACACACACACACACACACACACACACACACAGAGAGAGAGAGAGAGAGACAGAGAGACAGAGACAGAGACAGAGACAGAGACAGAGACAGAGACAAAGACAGAGGGAGGCUGGGUCUUGCUUCAAUAAGAACCUAAAACGAAAAGCGAAAUUGCCCUGCCCCUUCCUGGUGUUCAUCCACAUUGAUGCUUUACUGACAGCUGUCUGGAUCCUCUGGACUUGCCUCUCACUUGUAGCAAUGACUCUAGGUCAUUGGUGGAGGUGCAUACCUCACUGUCUCCACAUCAUUCACUCUCUCUUGAAGACUAUGAAUGGACUCUCAUGACAAUGAGGUGGUUGCUGGGUUCCUUGGCCCUCUCUGGACUACUUCCUGGGGAAUCUUAAACCCCAUUUGCCAUCAUUUCCUCCUCAUUUGUGGAAGAAAGCACUUGAAAAUUCUCAUACUGCCCUUGAGGACUUCUAGAUUCUUUGGAUUUCCAUGGCAGUUAAUCUCCCCAAUGGCAUAUUUUCAGUUUGUUCAGGGACAAAUCGUUAAAAGUGUUCAGUGAAACAAAGCAGCCAGAGCCCACUAAGCAAAGAGAAAUGGAUUCUAGUCCCCAAAUGCUUCCUGUGAUGCUUAGCCCAUGUGUUAAACAGCAGUAGCAAAACCAAAUGGCAGAAAAAUAGUCAGUAGUUUGCCUGAGUGGAUAGGAGACAACAUAUAUACAUACACACACACACACACAUACACACACACAUACACAUACACACACACAUACACAUACACACACACAUACACACACACACACAUACACACGCAACACACACACACACACACACACACACACACACACACACACACACACACACACACAACCAGCCUCAUACACUAAGAAUAUUCCUACAAUUUUUUAAGAAUAAAGAUGUGUAAAGUUCUCUUAUUUACUGAGGACUCAGUUAAUGACACCGUGGUGCUCUCAAUUAUUCAUUUCCAAGAUCUUUGGAGAAAACAUGACUAUUUCUUCUUACUCUGGCUAGUCACUGAGUUCUGUCAUUUCUACUUCCUGAUGCUACUCAACUCGGGCUUCUCUUCUCCUUUUUGCAUUGUCACUGUCUAGAUGAGUAACCUGCCACUCAGACCCUAGUCCUGCAGGAUGAGUUCCAAGGAUUGAGUAUCACCUGGUUCUUGCUAGAACCUCAGGGAUUUGGUGACUCCUGGAACUAAGGACAGAUGAGAAUACACUGGAAUAAACCCCCGGGUGAUUUUCUGCCUAUUAUAAUUCAAGGACACUGAGAUGACAACAUAGCUUGCCUCCUGACACGCUUCCCUCAUCUGUUUCUUCUCUGGCAGUGUCUUCCAUAUGCCACUCCUCACUGUGUGAAAUGUCUGCUGGGAAGUUAUCCUCUCUGCAACCCACAGCAUGGAACUCCAUAGCAUGUGUGAUGUAAGUUCACAUUGUCAGGUAGCCUCAGGAUACUACCUCCUCCCUUGCAGCUCGGGUCCUGAAAUCUUACCUAGGUAAUCAGGAAACGAAGAAAGGACAGGCACACAGACACAUGCAAUUUACAGAAAAUCUGGCAUCAGGUGGGCUGUGGGUACUCUGAUGGGAUGGCACCACCUCCGCAACCAUCCAGACCCCAGGACAUGUAGUAUGAAGGGCACAGGGGUGGCAGUUAGCUAGUGAGGGUAGGAGGUCUCCAUAGGGGAGCAGUCUCAGAGGACUGAAUUUCAUACACAUGGAUCAAUCACUCAUAAAUAUUUGCACUUGCCCACACUGCCAACAUUUAGAGAAUCCUUCACAAAUCCCAAGCCUGACCUGUAUGGGAAAGACUUUGCCACUCUCAUGGGUCCGAGGCAUCAGUCCUUGUCAGGACUGUGCCCAUAUCAAACAAUUUGAACCACUCAGGUCUUCAUCCACUCUUAUAUAUUGGGGCUUCCUCAGCUCCUCACAAGAUACAACUUUAGUUUUCUAUGCAGAAUAUUGUUUUUGUGUCAAGUUGAUUUUUUUUUCUAAUCUGUUCUACAUGGCCCCAGUCUCUUCAUGUUAUCUCAGACAUUUAGAAUUUGACUGUUGAUCAUGAUUUCUUUCUUUCUUUCUUUUUUUUUUUAAUGUCAAAUGCCGUUUAUUGAAGGAGGGAGGAGGUCUUAAAUACAGGCUUACAGCACAAUGGAGAACCCUGGAGGGCAGAAGUUUGCUACCGAUGUUUUAUAAUCUUGCAUCUAAGCUGUUAACGCCCAUUAUGCAGGAUACACAGACAAGGAACUUCCCUUAAGCAAUCAGGAGGGUGGAACCCAGCAGGGAAUUAGCAUAGGGAGGAUAUCAAGGUCAAGGUCAGCAAGCAAGGCAACAGUUACCCAAAAUGGGGACCAGGGCCCUACAGGUCCCCCUUUUACUAAAAAAUGAGCUUCUGACUUAGGUUGCGUGGGAUGUCAGCAGGUCACCUUACCUGUCAUGGAGAUGUCUGCCCAGGCCACACAGGUGCUCUGUCUUAGGUUGGUGAGCGCCCCCCCAGGCAUUACCCGUCUCUGAGUACUCAUUAUCAUAUAGGCUCAAUCAUGUGUGAACUGCAGAGUUAACUGCUGCCAAAGAUCUCAAAGUGGCACUGGGCUUGCAAUCUGUGUGUUUGAUACAGAAAAGACCAAUAGAAGUCCUAACCCACCCAUAGCAAGUAGGCUAAAGCCAACUGAGCCAUUCCCUUCCUUAACAAGCCUUACUGCAAAUUGGAGUCCUCGUAAGAUGGUAUCCCAAAAGCAAAUGGAACUUGAGUUUAUAAAUUUAUAAUUUUCAAAGCCAAUCAAAUUUUCAAAGCAUUGGCACCAGAGACCACUUCCUAAAAAUAAUAACAAUAGCACAGACACUGAGCACAACAAUUAAUAAAUGGGACCUCUUGAAACUGAGAAGCUUUUGCAGGGCAAAAGACACGGUCAAUAAGACAAAAAGACAGCCUACAGAAAUGGAAAAGAUCUUCAACAACCCCACAUCUGACAGAGGAUUGAUCAUGAUUUCUUGUGCUUUGCUUUUUGGUGGCUGUAGUGGGUAGCCGCUCCAGCUUUGACCUGUAAGUACUACUCCCAGUGAGGCUUCCAGUAACUGUCACACCUACCUAUCACCUGCCUUUGAGGCAGGGCCAAGACAGGAGCCCUUAAGACCCAAGAUCUGGAUGUGCCGGCUCUCUUGGUUCCUGGUAAUCAUGGAUGCUGGAUGGUAGAUCAAGCAGAGUUCUCCAGAGAACACCACUGGACUGCACUUCACCUCUUCUGGAUCCUGUAACCUAUCCCUUUACUUGUUGUAAGUUACCCCAAAAUAAACCUUCCUUUUUAACUA